rnacentral:rRNA from 1 species
GAUGAACGCUGGCGGCGUGCCUAAUACAUGCAAGUCGAGCGAACGGACGAGAAGCUUGCUUCUCUGAUGUUAGCGGCGGACGGGUGAGUAACACGUGGAUAACCUACCUAUAAGACUGGGAUAACUUCGGGAAACCGGAGCUAAUACCGGCUAAUAUUUUGAACCGCAUGGCUCAAAAGUGAAAGACGGUCUUGCUGUCACUUAUAGAUGGAUCCGCGCUGCAUUAGCUAGUUGGUAAGGUAACGGCUUACCAAGGCAACGAUGCAUAGCCGACCUGAGAGGGUGAUCGGCCACACUGGAACUGAGACACGGUCCAGACUCCUACGGGAGGCAGCAGUGGGGAAUCUUCCGCAAAGGGCGAAAGCCUGACGGAGCAACGCCGCGUGAGUGAUGAAGGUCUUCGGAUCGUAAACCUCUGUUAUUAGGGAAGAACAUAUGUGUAAGUAACUGUGCACAUCUUGACGGUACCUAAUCAGAAAGCCACGGCUAACUACGUG